GCAUUGAGGGUGCUCUUGUGACAUCUGUCACACUACUGAUCACCAGGGUUGAUUCGGCUGAUCUGGAUGGCUGGGCAGGUGUCCCCUUCCUCUCUAAGCUCCAUAUGCAUCCCUCCCAAGCUGUGCACUUGAUCGAAGAGGACAGCCACCCCCACCCCCUGUAGAGGAGGACCUUUCCUCUGUCAAGGCUAUGUGAGUAGCUGCGCUUCCCUGCUAGAACCUCCAAAUGAGCCCUCAAGAGAUUGACAGGUCUCAGCUCGGAGACACUGAGUGGCAAUCUCUCAAGGACCAGCCUGGGAAGUCUUUUCA
rnacentral:snRNA from 1 species